rnacentral:rRNA from 1 species
UGGGGAAUAUUGGACAAUGGGCGCAAGCCUGAUCCAGCCAUGCCGCGUGAGUGACGAAGGUCUUCGGAUUGUAAAACUCUUUUGGCGGGGACGAUAAUGACGGUACCCGCAGAAUAAGCCCCGGCUAACUUCGUGCCAGCAGCCGCGGUAAUACGAAGGGGGCUAGCGUUGUUCGGAAUCACUGGGCGUAAAGCGCACGUAGGCGGAUGUGCCAGUCAGGGGUGAAAUCCCGGAGCUCAACUCCGGAACUGCCUCUGAUACUGCACGUCUUGAGUUCGAGAGAGGUGGGUGGAAUUCCUAGUGUAGAGGUGAAAUUCGUAGAUAUUAGGAAGAACACCGGUGGCGAAGGCGGCCCACUGGCUCGAUACUGACGCUGAGGUGCGAAAGCGUGGGGAGCAAACAGGAUUAGAUACCCUAGUAGUCCCUGAG